rnacentral:tRNA from 1 species
ACUGGGUUGGCCGAGUGGUUAAGGCGUUGGACUUAAGUUCCAAUGGACAAGUGUCCGCGUGGGUUCGAACCCCACACCCAG